UAUGCCCAGCUGCAAUUAUAUCACCUCACUGGACACAACCAGGCAACAAUGACUUUCACUGGGUGUAACCAGUCAACGUAUACCACCAACUUGGAACUGUAUUUACAUUGCUGGUCCUGCUUCAUUGAAGAGUUUUGCUCCAAGGACAUCUGUGAGACUGGCCACCUUGCUGCCCAUCCCUAGACUGACUCCACCAUUCCCUGACAUCCAGCCAUCAGCUGGAGAGAACCACCAGACAAGGACAACAUCUAUUCUUUGGCUAAGAGAAAUUACAUUGCAUUGGAGAUUUGCAGGUGCCUGGUAAUAAGGAACUGAAGUGGGAACUAGAAAUAUGAAAAAUUUCAAGUCACAGUUGAUCAUCUCUAGGAAUUUGAGUCUUACAAAAGACACAGGUCAGAACUUUUCAAAGAGUAGUAUAAGGAUCACCCGAAUCAGAUUCAACUGGAAUUUUUCUUCUUGGCCUAGACCUACUGACUUGGAAUCCUUGGGGUUGUCCCAGUAAUCCAAUUUUAACAUUAAUUUCCAAGUGAUGUUUUUAUCCACCACUAUAGGAAGUUACAACUCUUUGGACUUUUCAAAGGAUUUUCAUCCUCAGUUUAUCUUCCUUCUUUGAAAGAACAUGAAAAUGUAUUGAGCUGAGACAAAAUUUGUUUGUCCAGAGUUCAGAAGCUGAGAAAGCUAUGUCUUGACUCUUUAUUAGGAAGAGACUGUGUUAUAGUUUGUAUAAAAAUUCUCUCAAAGACUUAUGUAUUGAAGGGUUAAUCCCUGGCCCUUGGCACUAUUGGGAGGUGGUGGAAACUUAGGAAGGGGGUACCUAGAUGAAAGACCUAGGUCAUGGAGGGCCUAUAACUAUGAAGGAUCUAUCGGUCCUUGAAGGGUAUGUCUUUUUUCUGGUCCCUCUCCCUGUCACUGGCUGCCAUGAGGUGAGCAGCUCUGCCUCACUCUGUGUUCCAAAGAGCACCAUGAUAUGAUGUUCAAUCUCACCACAGACCCAGAAACCACAAAGCCAAGUGAAUAUGGACUGAAACCUCUGAAAUCAUGAACCAAAAUAAGUAUUUCCUCCUUUAAGUUGGUUUUUGUCAAUCAUUUUGUCAUAGUGACAGAAAGCUGACAAAUGUGGUAUAUCUGUCUCAAAAUAAAGAACUCAUGGAAAUAAAACUGCU